rnacentral:rRNA from 1 species
GACUCUCUGCAACGGAUAUCUCGGAUCUCGCAUCGAUGAAGAACGUAUCGAAAUGCGAUACUUGGUGUGAAUUGCAGAAUCUCGUGAACCAUCGAGUCUUUGAACGCAAGUUGCGCCCGAAGCCAUUAGGCUGAGGGUACGUCCGCGUGGGCGUCA